UUCCGGUUGAUCCUGCCGGAGGCCAUUGCUAUCGGAGUCCGAUUUAGCCAUGCUAGUUGUGCGGGUUUAGACCCGCAGCGGAAAGCUCAGUAACACGUGGCCAAGCUACCCUGUGGAUGGGAACAAUCUCGGGAAACUGAGGCUAAUUCCCAAUAACGCUCCACCCCUGGAAUGGGUGGAGCCGGAAACGUUCCGACGCCACAGGAUGCGGCUGCGGCCGAUUAGGUAGACGGUGGGGUAACGGCCCACCGUGCCCAUAAUCGGUACGGGUUGUGAGAGCAAGAGCCCGGAGACGGAAUCUGAGACAAGAUUCCGGGCCCUACGGGGCGCAGCAGGCGCGAAACCUUUACACUGUACGCAAGUGCGAUAAGGGGACUCCGAGUGUGAAGGCAUAGAGCCUUCACUUUUGUACGCCCUAAGGCGGUGUACGAAUAAGGGCUGGGCAAGACCGGUGCCAGCCGCCGCGGUAAUACCGGCAGCCCGAGUGAUGGCCGAUAUUAUUGGGCCUAAAGCGUCCGUAGCUGGCCGGACAAGUCCGUUGGGAAAUCUGCUCGCUUAACGAGCAGGCGUCCAGCGGAAACUGUUCGGCUUGGGACCGGAAGACCUGAGGGGUACGUCCGGGGUAGGAGUGAAAUCCUGUAAUCCUGGACGGACCACCGGUGGCGGAAGCGCCUCAGGAGAACGGAUCCGACAGUGAGGGACGAAAGCUAGGGUCUCGAACCGGAUUAGAUACCCGGGUAGUCCUAGCUGUAAACGAUGCCCGCUAGGUGUGGCGCAGGCUACGAGCCUGCGCUGUGCCGUAGGGAAGCCGAGAAGCGGGCCGCCUGGGAAGUACGUCUGCAAGGAUGAAACUUAAAGGAAUUGGCGGGGGAGCA
rnacentral:rRNA from 1 species